rnacentral:sRNA from 1 species
UGCCUGGAUGCGGAGGGGGGUGAGGGGCCUCCCGCUCCCUGGGAACAGCUGUUCAACUCUGCUAAGGCUGAUUCCUCUUUGAGACCACCCCAGUCCUUUCUCCCCACAGGCUGGUAGAGAGUGCCCGAGAGGCCUGGAGAAGACUUUGGACCUGCUUUCACAACUGCAGAGCCUCCUGGAGCCACACCUUGACAAAGGUGACUUUGGUCAGCUCUCCGGUCCAGACCCCCCAGGAAAGUUUGACACCCAUUCUGCCUGAGAACUUUCCAGUCAGUCCUGAAAUCUGGAGACAACUGGAGCAACACAUAAAAAAGUGGAUCAUCCAACACUGGGGCAAGCUGGGAAGGAUCCAAGAGUCUCCGGAUCUGAUGCAGCUUCGGGAUGAAUC